AGGAAACUAUGACCACAACAAUUGGGCCAUAAUGCAAAUACAAAGACUUUUGGGGUCACUUUGUAAAAACACAAUAGUCCACAACUUCAUGUAAUUACAACUAGAUCCCAAAAAUUUAAUAAUGUAAAAGCAUCAUUAAAGGAUCAAAACAAUUUGUCCUUUAGAGUUUUUUGGGCCUUAACGUAAAAACGUAAACUUUUGGGCCAAAAUGCAAAUACACAAAAGUAUCUCAAACUUUAUGUAAUUGCACAAAAGGCCCCAAAAGUAACCCCCCUUGGGGUUGCCGGCCAUUGGAAGAAGUUAUGAAAAAUUUUCUAAAAAGUUUUUGCAAGUUGAUUUUGGUGGGUGAGGAAAAGGGUGAAAGUGAUGGUUUGUAAGAAAAAAUUAAAAUCUAUGACAAACAUUAAAACAUUUCAUCACAUCUCACCAAUAACCAUCAACCAUCAAAUAAUAAACCAAAACUUUAUGAAAAACAUAAAACUUUUGAAUCAAAACUUCAAACCUUUUUGUUCUUGGCAAGAACUUCAAGAACAUUUGAAGAACACCAUGAAAACUAAUAAUAGCUCCAUGAAUGUUUUCAUUCACCAAAACUCAAUUUUUCACCACUCAAAAGAGGGCUAAUAUCCUAGGGUACUUAGGGGUUCCAAAAGUCACCGUAAAACCAUUUUAACAAGACAAACAUAAACCCAAAAAAUCACCCUAAGGAUUUGGCCGAAUUUCCCAAAAUACAUGGCACCAAAUUUUAGUUCCAAUAUUCAUGCUUAAAUGAAAUACAUCUACAACAUUUGAGAUGCUAAAUUUUCUAGCAAAAUUUAUAUAUUCAAAAGCAAGAAUAAAGCUUGUAACAUUUACAACAUUUAAAUCACAAAACAUGAAAAUCACAAAACCCAAAAGGAUUCACCAUAAACUAGGCCUAGGCUCUGAUACCACUUGAAGGAAAAAUUUUGUCCUAGCUAAGAACAAGUAUGAACAUUUGAAUACAUAUGCAAGCUAUAAACAAUUUAAAGUAGGCAUGCAUCCAAAAACAAUUGAUAAAACCCAUGACUUUCAAAGCCUAGUAUAUGGUGAACCAAUAAACUCUUUAACAACAUUAAAGAGAAGUAAAAAUUUAGAGUUUCUUUACCCUUGAAGCUCAUCCUUGUUUACACAAGGGAUUCACCCAAGUGGAGGGCCUUCA
rnacentral:lncRNA from 1 species